ensembl:lncRNA
CUUCAUUGUUGGUUAAGGGCUUGUGAGUAUGCAUUUCAUGGUAAGGUCUACACUUGUUGUAUUCGGCGUAUGUGACGAAUACAAUUUGAUUUGUUUAUGUCCUUUUCCAAUUUGACCAACCACUGACAAAACAUAAGCAACUGAAGGGUCUGACACAGCGACAUAAAAAAAGAAAGAAAGACAUGGAAACUUCAGUUCCACAGGCCAGAACUACUCUGCCUCCUCCCUCCCUAUCGGAUUAUUUCGCUCCACCUACAACUCAGAGAUGUCAAAGGGCCCAGGAUUUCUUCCCUCCACCUCCAGUGGAUUCCAUCGUGGUUGAGGAGCCCUUCUCUCGACCAGUGAAGCCCAUUGUGGUUGAGCUGCCCAUCUCUCCACCACCUAAUCCCAUUGUGGUUGAACGGCCCAUCUCUCCACCAGUGAAGCCCAUUGUGGUUGAGCUGCCCAUCUCUUCCCCAGUGGAGCCCAUUGUGGUUGAGCUGCACAUCUCUCCACCAGUGAAACCCAUCAUGGUUGAGCUGCCUAUCUCUCCACCAGUGGAGCCCAUAGCUGUUGAGCUGCCCAUCUCUCCACCAGUGAAGCCUGUUGUGGUUGAGCUGCUGAUCUCUACACCAGUGAAACCCAUCAUGGUUGAGCUGCCCAUCUCUCCACCAGUGAAGCCUGUUGUGGUUGAGCUGCCCAUCUCUCCACCAGUGAAACCCAUCAUGGUUGAGCUGCCCAUCUCUCCACCAGUGAAGCACGUCAUGUUUGAGUUGUCGAUUGCUCCAGUGGAAACUGAGUCGCUUCAGAGUUUUGAGGGUCUGACACAGCGACAUAAAAAAAGAAAGAAAGACAUGGAAACUUCAGUUCCACAGGCCAGAACUACCCUGACUCCUCCCUCCCUAUCGGAUUAUUUCGCUCCACCUACAACUCAGAGAUUUCAAAGGGCCCAGGAUUUCUUCCCUCCACCUCCAGUGGAGCCCAUCGUGGUUGAGGAGCCCAACUCUACACAAGUGAAGCCCAUUGUGGUUGAGCUGCCCAUCUCUCCUCCAGUUGGGCCCAUUGUGGUUGAGGUGCCCAUCUCUCCACCAGUGAAACAAAUCAUGGUUGAUCUGCCCAUCUCUCCACCAGUGAAGCCCAUCGUGAUGGAGCUGCCCAACUCUACACCAGUGAAACCCAUCAAGGUUGAUCUGCCCAUCUCUCCACCAGUGAAACCCAUCAUGGUUGAGCUGCCCUUCUCUCCACCAGUGAAACACAUCAUGGUUGAGCUGCCCUUCUCUCCACCAGUGGAGCCCAUCGCUGUUGAGUUGCCCAUCUCUCCACCAGUGAAGCCUGUUGUGGUUGAGCUGCCCAUCUCUCCACCAGUGAAACCCAUCAUGGUUGAGCUGCCCAUCUCUCCACCAGUGAAGCACGUCAUGUUUGAGUUGUCGAUUGCUCCAGUGGAAACUGAGUCGCUUCAGAGUUUUGAGGGUCAGACACAGCGACAUAAAAAAAGAAAGAAAGACAUGGAAACUUCAGUUCCACAGACCAGAACUACCCUGACUCCUCCCUCCCUAUCGGAUUAUUUCGCUCCACCUACAACUCAGAGAUGUCAAAGGGCCCAGAAUUUCUUCCCUCCACCUCCAGUGGAGCCCAUCGUGGUUGAGGAGCCCAUCUCUCCACCAGUUAAUCCCAUCGUGAUGGAGCUGCCCAACUCUCCACCAGUGAAGCCCAUUGUGGUUGAGCUGCCCAUCUCUCCACCAGUGGAGCCCAUUGUGGUUGAGCUGCCCAUCUCUCCACCAGUGAAACCCAUCAUGGUUGAGCUGCCCAUCUCUCCACCAGUGAAGCCCAUCGUGGUCGACCAUCCCAUCUCUCCACUAGUGAAGCCCGUAAUGGUUGAGCUGCCAAUCUCUCCACCAGUGAAGCUCACAGUGGUUGAGCUGCCCAUCUUUCCACCAGUAAAGCCUGUUGUGGUUGAGCUGCCCAUCUCUCCACCAGUGAAACCCAUCGUGAUGGAGCUGCCCAUCUCUCCACCUGUGAAACCCAUCAUGGUUGAGCUGCCCAUCUCUCCACCAGUGAAACCCAUAAUGGUGUGGUUGCCCACCUCUCCACCAUUGAAACCAGUCGUGGUUGAACGGCCCAUCUCUCCACCAGUGAAACCCAUCAUGGUUGAGCUGCCCAUCUCUCCACCAGUGAAGCACGUCAUGUUUGAGCUGCCGAUUGCUCCAGUGGAAGCUGAGUCACUUCAGAGAUUUGAGGGUCUGACACAGCGACAUAAAAAAAGAAAGAAAGACAUGGAAACUUCAGUUCCACAGACCAGAACUACCCUGACUCCUCCCUCCCUAUCGGAUUAUUUCGCUCCACCUACAACUCAGAGAUGUCAAAGGGCCCAGGAUUUCUUCCCUCCACCUCCAGUGGAGCCCAUCGUGGUUGAGGAGCCCAACUCUACACAAGUGAAGCCCAUUGUGGUUGAGCUGCCCAUCUCUCCUCCAGUUGGGCCCAUUGUGGUUGAGGUGCCCAUCUCUCCACCAGUGAAACAAAUCAUGGUUGAUCUGCCCAUCUCUCCACCAGUGAAGCCCAUCGUGAUGGAGCUGCCCAACUCUACACCAGUGAAACCCAUCAAGGUUGAUCUGCCCAUCUCUCCACCAGUGAAACCCAUCAUGGUUGAGCUGCCCUUCUCUCCACCAGUGAAACACAUCAUGGUUGAGCUGCCCUUCUCUCCACCAGUGGAGCCCAUCGCUGUUGAGUUGCCCAUCUCUCCACCAGUGAAGCCUGUUGUGGUUGAGCUGCCCAUCUCUCCACCAGUGAAACCCAUCAUGGUUGAGCUGCCCAUCUCUCCACCAGUGAAGCACGUCAUGUUUGAGUUGUCGAUUGCUCCAGUGGAAACUGAGUCGCUUCAGAGUUUUGAGGGUCAGACACAGCGACAUAAAAAAAGAAAGAAAGACAUGGAAACUUCAGUUCCACAGACCAGAACUACCCUGACUCCUCCCUCCCUAUCGGAUUAUUUCGCUCCACCUACAACUCAGAGAUGUCAAAGGGCCCAGGAUUUCUUCCCUCCACCUCCAGUGGAGCCCAUCGUGGAUAAGGAGCCCAUCUCUCCACCAGUUAAUCCCAUCGUGAUGGAGCUGCCUAACUCUCCACCAGUGAAGCCCAUUGUGGUUGAGCUGCCCAUCUCUCCACCAGUGAAUCCCAUUUUUGUUGAGCUGCCCAUUUCGCCACCUGUGAAGCCCAUCAUGGUUGAGCUGCCCACCUCUCCACCAGUGAAACCCGUCGUGGUUGAACGGCCCAUGUCUCCACCAGUGAAGCCUAUCUUGGUCGACCAUCCCAUCUCUCCACCAGUGAACCAACAGGAUCAACCUGGUCAAGGGGCCAACUGGGAAAUAGAGGCUGGUUCUUCUCAGAUUGUCGAUGCUCCUGUCCAUCUCCUCUUCCCUGCUUCCUCUGAUCUCCCUCAGCAGAUCCCACAGGAGCAGCCUGGAGUCCUCACAGCAUUCCCUGGUCCUCUUACAAACGUUGGGACUCUUGAGGAGAUGAUUGAGGUUGCAUGGCAGAAGUGUCAGGAGUACCAAUCUAAGUUCUUCAUGUGGUACUUUGUUACCCUUUUGUGCACACAGAGUAGGGCACAGCCCAUCUUUCCUCCAGUGAAACCAAUCGUGGUCGAGCGUCCCAUCUCUCCACCAGUGAAACCCAUCGUGGUCGAGCGUCCCAUCUCUCCACCAGUGGAGCCCAUUGUGGUCGAGAGUCCUAUCUCUCCACCAGUGGAGCCCAUCGUGGUUGAACUCCCCAUCUUUCCACCAGUGAAGCAUGUUGUCGUUGAGCUGCCCAUCUCUCCACCAGUAAAUCCGAUCAUGGUUGAGCUCCCCAUCUUGCCACCAGUGAAACCCAUCAUGGUUGAGCUGCCGAUCGCUCCAGUCGAAGCUGAGUCGCUUCAGAGAUUUGAGGGUCUGACACAGCGACAUAAAAAAAGAAAGAAAGACAUGGAAACUUCAGUUCCACAGACCAGAACUACCCUGCCUCCUCCCUCCCUAUCGGAUUAUUUCGCUCCACCUACAACUCAGAGAUGUCAAAGGGCCCAGAAUUUCUUCCCUCCACCCCCAGUGGAGCCCAUCGUGGUUGAGGAGCCCAUCUCUCCACCAGUUAAUCCCAUCGUGAUGGAGCUGCCCAACUCUCCACCAGUGAAGCCCAUUGUGGUUGAGCUGCCCAUCUCUCCACCAGUGAAACCCAUCAUGGUUGAGCUGCCCAUCUCUCCACCAGUGAAACCCAUCAUGGUUGAGCUGCCCAUCUCUCCACCAGUGAAACCCAUCAUGGUUGAGCUGCCCAUCUCUCCACCAGUGAAGCUCACAGUGGUUGAGCUGCCCAUCUCUCCACCAGUGAAACCCAUCAUGGUUGAUCUGCACAUCUCUUCACCAGUGAAACCCAUAAUGGUUGAGCUCCCCAUCUCUCCACCUGUGAAACCCAUCAUGGUUGAGCUGCCAAUCUCUCCACCAGUGAAACCCAUCAUGGUUGAGCUGCCCAUCUCUCCACCAGUGAAACCCAUCAUGGUUGAGCUGCCCAUCUCUCCACCAGUGAAGCACGUCAUGGUUGAGCUCCCCAUCUCUCCACCAGUGAAACCCAUCAUGGUUGAGCUGCCCAUCUCUCCACCAGUGAAACCCAUCAUGGUUGAGCUGCCCAUCUCUCCACCAGUGAAACCCAUCAUGGUUGAGCUACCGAUCGCUCCAGUGGAAGCUGAGUCGCUUCAGAGAUUUGAGCCAAUGAAGGGUCAGACACAGCGACAUAAAAAAAGAAAGACAGACAUGGAAACUUCAGUUCCACAGACCAGAACUACCCUGACUCCUCCCUCCCUAUCGGAUUAUUUCGCUCCACCUACAACUCAGAGAUUUCAAAGGGCCCAGGAUUUCUUCCCUCCACCUCCAGUGGAGCCCAUCGUGGAUAAGGAGCCCAUCUCUCCAGCAGUGAAUCCCAUCCUGAUGGAGCUGCCCAACUCUCCACCAGUGAAGCCCAUUGUGGUUGAGCUGCCCAUCUCUCCACCAGUGAAUCCCAUUUUUGUUGAGCUGCCCAUUUCUCCACCUGUGAAGCCCAUCAUGGUUGAGCUGCCCACCUCUCCACCAGUGAAACCCGUCGUGGUUGAACGGCCCAUGUCUCCACCAGUGAAGCCUAUCUUGGUCGACCAUCCCAUCUCUCCACCAGUGAACCAACAGGAUCAACCUGGUCAAGGGGCCAACUGGGAAAUAGAGGCUGGUUCUUCUCAGAUUGUCGAUGCUCCUGUCCAUCUCCUCUUCCCUGCGUCCUCUGAUCUCCCUCAGCAGAUCCCACAGGAGCAGCCUGGAGUCCUCACAGCAUUCCCUGGUCCUCUUACAAACCCAUCUUUCCUCCAGUGAAACCAAUCGUGGUCGAGCGUCCCAUCUCUCCACCAGUGAAACCCAUCGUGGUCGAGCGUCCCAUCUCUCCACCAGUGGAGCCCAUCGUGGUUGAACUCCCCAUCUUUCCACCAGUGAAGCAUGUUGUCGUUGAGCUGCCCAUCUCUCCACCAGUGAAGCACGUCAUGUUUGAGCUGCCGAUCGCUCCAGUGGAAGCUGAGUCACUUCAGAGAUUUGAGGUAGGCUACUCACUCCACACUGUCCCUUUGAACUUGUAAAUCAUGGUCCUAGUUUAGCUGCAAUCAGCAAUUCACACAU